UGUUUGAUGGACGAAUUGGAUGGAUUAAUCAAUAGAUGAAUAUUGAUGAAUCAAAUUUCCACCUCUACAUGUAUUUAUUCAAUCGUCAUUUCCACCUCUGCAUGUAUUAUUUAUUCAGUUGGCAUUUUUCUUCUCGACUUUAUUUCCAGCUGAAUAAAUAAAGCAUUUAAAUUUCAUUCACAUCUUACACACAUUUAAGUACUCUUUUUUUCCUUUCUAGGAUUGUAAAACCAAACUUUUCUUCCAUCAAGAUCUUGUGUUGGCCUUGCAUUUUCCUCAAAUCCCUGUAAAAAGAGUCAUAAUUUAGAUAAGAUUAAUAAUUUUUUGUAUGCUUACUUUUGAAGGACUAAAUUAAAGAAAUCCAUACUUCUUGAACAAUAUUUACCAAUAUCUUUGAUUUAGGUAAUUUUUAGAGUAGAUAAUAAGUUAGCAAUAUCUAAGUGAGAAAUCCACACUUACAUGAUUAACAGCUUUCAAAGCCUUCAAUUGUUCUACUGAGACUGUCUUCACCUGUAAUAAAGAUGUUAUAAAAGUUAAUUAAAAAGGGUGUCUAGUAAAUAAAUACAUAUUAGUGUAUGAUAUAGUUAAGAGAAUCACAUGAAAAUUAAAGUAUAUACCUUCUUCAAAACUGUCCAAAUAACAUCUUCAGUACAUGGUGGACUUGUAAGAGAACCAAUAUAUCUGUAAUAUUUUGUGCCUCCGAACUUGAAUAUAUCUGCUGGAUUAAUUAUUCCUACAUCUAUUUCCUUGUCACGGAUAGACUUUAUGUGGUUAAGCAACUGCCAAAAAGAAAAAAUUUAAAGUUGAAAUUGAAAUUUAGGGAGUAUAUUUAUUUUACUUUAUUAGAUAUACAAAAAAUGUAGCGAACCUUUGAAAGUAAGGGAUCUGGACGACCAAUUUUAUACCAAAUUCCAAUCACAGCUAUCUCGUCUUUAGAAUUUUGAUGGACACAAUGUUGUUCCAUAUCAAACCUAGAUAAAAAUUACAUGACAUUAUUAUUAUUAUUAAUAAUACAUACAUACAAAUAGCAAAUAAAUUAUUAAAAGGGUGAGUUUAUUUAUGCUUAUCUUAAGAACUUAUACCCACUUUGAUCCAUUCAAUGUGUGCUCUGAAGGUGUAUGCCAAUGACAUUGUAUUAGUUUGUAGUAAGUUCCAUUUAGAUUAAGCUUACCUGCAUAACCUUUCCAUUGGAGCUGUC
rnacentral:lncRNA from 1 species